rnacentral:lncRNA from 1 species
UCUGAGUGUCCUGCCUUGUUGCCAUCUGCAUGGAUGAGUGAAUGCUUCUAUGCACGAGGAGACUCAAGCCAACUCAGAGUCUGCUUUUUCCAACGCUCUUCCCAGGUUUCUUUUGCAAAGCUUGGUCAUUUGGCCCAGGUCUUCCUGGAAAGUGGAGUACAUGUCACUGACUAGGGUGGCGUGGUGUCUUUACCCUUAACAUUAAGUCUUGUUACCUCAGUGAUGUGAAGCCAAUGGUUGGAAUUAUAAAAAGCAUCCUUGCUGGUUCUUCACAGGACACUGGAACCCACCCUGUCAAUUCAGCUAGCAUGUCCACACAGUCUUGAUGAUCCCUCUCUGUAACAGGCAGCUAACAUUAAGAGAAGGGGGAAAGAGAAGAAGAGAGCAAUAGCUUAUGGGAGAGCUGAGAUCUUACUUCGUUGACCCAUAUUUUUCCCCUGACCAAGUUACCUGUAAACUGGAAUUUGCAAGGGGAUGCUGUGAUGAUAACCCCUUUCUAUUGCUGUAAUGUUCAUAUAACCUGGGAAACUGAGAGAAGGGGAUGUGUAAAUAAAAGCUUAAACAUUUUAGUAAUGUGUUAAAAUGUCACUCUCUCUUACCCUGUUUCCCUUUUUUGCCAGAUGAUGAUUUUUUUAUUUUUAUUUUGUACUUUACUGGAUGACUGUGAAGCGAUGAGUAUUGGGUUGGGGUAGGUGUGUUGAUUUUGAGAGUGCAUGUUAAGAACUGAAGGGGAACUACUUGAGAUGACUUAAGAAGCAUCCCAUG